CUCAGCAAUAAGUUCCCAACCUCCCUUCAGAACCCACAGUUUUGCCUAUCUUCACUGGGAUUUUGCAAAUUAAAUUCUGAUUCUGACCUUGCAUAAGACCAACAUUUCCUCUAGGAAAGUUUCGACAAAUCCAUCUCAACAUUUCAGCUCUGACCUUCUCUCUCAGUGGAAGAAAGAACAUUUCAAAAAAUGUUAAGCAAAUACCAUGUGAAAAUAUGGGUGGUUUUUUAGCUUCAAAUCAGGCAGAAAGUUGGAGCUUUGACUUUAUGGGAUGACUUUCUCUAGGACAGAUAAUGAAACUCAGAUAAGGCUCUCCAGCUGCUUGAAAUACAAAGCCAGCAGGCAAGACAUACACUGAUGGGUAGAAGAGGUAUGAAUCAAACCAUGAGUCCUAAGAGACCAACUUGUACAACUGGACAGCUGAAAAUGGGAGAUGAAUAAACUGAAUCCAGCUUUUAGGACCCAGGAGAGAAAUUUCUCUGAGCACAUGUAGUUCUGUUUGUAGGAUCCUAAAGUGCUCUACUGGAUAAAAGAAGUCAGAAGAAGCUUCCAGGAGGAUGAAGUCAAGGCUAGUUAUGUGCUGGAAAGAGUGCCACCAUAACUAACAAAAUAAUACAAGGUCUACUGUUAAUAAAAUGAGAGACAGUAUUUCAGUAGUCCAUGAAAGUGCUCAUGGAAUUCCAGAAGUGUCAUUACCCAAAAGCCAAAGUUGUGGGAACAUAGUGACAUAAAUGUGAUGAAACUGAUGUCAUCCAAUACCAGUGGAAAUUAAUUGGACCUGCACAGCCAAUUCAGUCCCCAGUGACAAUAGAACACAAUGAUAUGAGACUUCUUAGGAUGAGCAAAAAAAAAAGGGAUAUAAAUAUUCCAGGAAAAAUUUGUAGAGAAAUAAAUGUCACUGCAAAAACCAUUAUCUGUUUUGUACAGAAGAAAAAUAGCUGCUAUUGAAGGAGUGACUAUACAGAAGCUCUACUUACAAUUCCUGGCCUUCAGAAAAAGUUUUCUUUGAUUUAUUUUUGUAUCUGUUUCAACUUAUAAUCAUACCUGUUUGUACUGAACAACUCAGCCUGCUGCUCAGUUACCGGAAAGAGUAUUUUUGGGUUUUAUGUAGUUGUUGAAAUAAAGAGAAAUAAUAUUUUGACGGAAACAUCCAGAUCUUAUGACAUUGUCGGCUGAAGGUUACUAAAUUGAAUGAGUGAAAUAGAUUCUCUGGGUUAAAAAGGCUUGAAAAUUUAGAAGCACAAAAAUUUAUCAACUCCCACCAGAGCUUUCUAAAUUGGACAAUAAUAUUCUUGUAAAAGACUGGUUAACUAACAGCAAGAAUUUUGAAGUUUAGAUUAUUUUAUUUGAUAAUGCCAUGGAUCUUAUAAUACAAGAUUUAAUCUUUAGAUAAGAUUAAAGCUAAUUAUAAAGCUCCGAAUACAAAAAGCUUACAUUUCAGGUUGUUCUAAAACUGUUCUGCAUAAUGUAUCUGAAAAAAAAACCUCCUUGAAUGUAGAUGUGUGGUUGAAAGCCUGGUAUUAUAGCAGACCGCUUAUUUUCUACUGCAAAGCUAGAUUAAAAAGUAGAAUUCAGUAACUAUUAUAAUAAUCUCCAACUGGAAACACACAUUUUUUGUGACAAUUAAAUGCUUGGCUUUUAUGAACAUUAUUAAAUAUUAUUUGAAAGACUUGUUAAAUACAUCUAUAGAGUUGGGUUUAAAUAAUAGCAUCUCAUCAGCUUCUUCAGACACAGAGUGGGAAGGACUUACCACAGCUCUCCAGAAGUAUUCAUUCAGACACAACAAGACCUAUAUGGAUGAGUCUUCUCAUGGACUUCCAUUAAUAUGUGCAACAGGUGCACUUUAUAUUCCUGUGUGAUUAUGGAAAGUAGGUUUGGGAGCACUGAGUUUUGCACUGCAAUCUGAUGAAAUGUCAAAAGAGGUCUGAAAUUAAUAAAACUUCAAAUUUCCCCCAGACUUAUCAAAUCAUACAGAGAAACUUCUGCAUAAAAACAUGUUAGUCAAACAAAGAACUGGGACUGACUGAGAGUGCAACCAAAAAUCUGUGGUGUCCUUUCUUUAAUUUCCCAUUUUCAUUUCUUGACCAAGUCCUGCACAUUCAUUUUAAAUAUUUUUUCCUUAAAUAAAGACAUAUAACUUAGAUAUAUAUCUCUAGAAUUUUGCUUACAAAAGCAGUUAAUGAUAAUUGAAAUAAACAUAGAACUUUGAAAGGUAUUUCAAGAAAGCUCAUCCCGUAGAAUUUGAGCUAAAUUUUAUGAUCACUUCUUUAUUGAUCAGAGAUUAUUUUAAAAUAGGCUAAUGAGAGAUUAAAAAACAUUCAGCAACUAUAGUCUUCCAAGACAAUACAAAAAUGCUGGGGAGAAGAUCCUGGUCAAGGAUAAUAUCAUAAACAAUAUAAUUUGUGUGAUUUUAGUCAGUUGCUUGCAACCCACAUAGACCCUGCCUCUGAUGGAGGCUGUGACAGCAUUGAUGCUGAAGGUGGAGGAACUUCCUGGAAAAAGUAGAAGAAUUUUUUUUGCAUGGCUCAGUAAUAUGAGAAAUAGGUAUCAUGAGUGUAGUUUCUGUCAGAUGUAAACCAACAUGUGAAUAGGUAGAAUUAUUAAAAUAAUUCUAGCAUAGCUUCUGAGAACAAAAUUAGUAAAUUAUAUUUUUAAAAACCAUCAAAGUACAAAAAAAAAGGCAAAUUUGUGCUAGUGAAAGGAAGAAUAGCAAUGUCACCCAUAGACAUCCAAGUGGAUCACUUAACUAUGAAUUUAUGGUCUAAAACCUACCUAUUGCUGAAAUAAUACAUCUUGACAUGACUAGACUAUCAUGUAUUGCCAACGAUUUAUUAGCUCUUAGUUGAAAUGGUCAUCUUUUUAGACUAAGGCUUGAUCAAAAGACUGUAAUUUUCUCUGUAGUCACUCCUGCCUUAAAUACAUGGAAAUAUCAGAAUAUUUUUAAGUUUCUUAAAUCACCAGCCAUUUGGAACAGUAAUAGUCCAUUCUUGUCUUGAUGUCUUUCAAGGCAGUAAUGAAGCAUCACUGGAACUCUGUCAGAACAUUGAUAAAAUCUUAUUAUUGGUAAAUGAUAACUCUACUGCUAAAUUUGGGAGACAUAAUUCUAUCCAAAAAUUAAUGGUAAAUGAGAAUAAAUACCUGUUCAGUUAACAAUUCCAUUCAUACAUUACAUAAUGUUGAAAAGUAAGCUUUAAAAAACUUUCUUUUUAAAAAGCUGUUAAAAGUAAUUUAAUCUUCCAGGCACAAGUCGCUAAUCAUUGUUAUCCAUUUCUCAAAAAGUUUUAGAAUUAUAGGAGAUAUAUAAUUUGUCAGAUGUGAAUACAUGGAAGUUAUCAGGCAAGGCCCUAUGGAAUAGCUACCUCAUAUUCUCCACUUGCAAGGUUUUAAAAAUAUUAAGCUAUAGAAAUUACUCUUUUUUUUUUUUUUUUACUAAUAACAAUUGCAUAGUUUCUCCUUUUUGUGAAAAGUAUGAUAAAUUUAGGAAAGUUGGAGUCAUCCUCAUUUUUACCAAAGGCAAAGAGUUUUUAUGGUAUAGUCUUUACAGCUAUCUGAUUUUUUUUAUGUUAAUUGUGACACGGUGCAUUAGUAUGUGUUAAAACACAAAGACAUUGCUACAAUUCUUUGGCAUAAAUUUGCACCAUGGCAAACAGAAUAAGCAAAAAGGAAUUUCAUUUUGUGAAAUGCGCUACAUUUCAAAUCCCUGAAUCUAUAUUUUGAUGUACUCUAAGUGAAGCAACUAAACUUACUGAGUUAUGUUUGUUUAAAAAAAAUGGGAAAUGGCAGCCGUUUCUGAGAAUAGCUACAGAUUAGUUAGAAAUUUUAACCGAACCAUGCACACUCACUCACACAGGAGUUAUGUAUUAGGUCUAAAAAUACAUCUCGAAACGUUAUUUUUCUUAAUUUCUCAAAAAAGCUGUAGAACAUUUAAUGCUUGCUUCCAUUUUAGAAACAGCAUCAAUAUUAGUCACUGUGAAGAAAAUUAACUCUAUCCUAAUCAAACCAGCAACAUCAUACCCCCCUGCAGAAACUGUUGGGACUUUCCCCUCAGGCAAUACUCCCUGUUGUGAAUUUGGCUACUUGGGCUCUGCAGGCUGUAUUUCUACAUUUCUCAGUAAUUACUUUCCUGUAACUAACUUAGUUUCAAAUGAAGGUUGGAGAGGAAGACUUAAUGUGUAUUCUGCAUAUACUGAAACAUCUGAAUCAACAUUUAAAUGAGGUCACAUCCUGGUUCUGGCAUAAAUAAUGUGUUUUGUCUCAUUUGAAUCUUUCUGGCUCUCCACCACGUUCUGCCCUUAUUAUGAAAUGUGUGUGUUUUGUGACUGCACUUUUAAACAGAACCAAGUGCAUAAAUCUACUCAAUGCAUAAAAUUUUACCGUUUCUGACCAACAGAUGGAAGCCCUCGAUUAAAAUGUAGUCACUUUUUAAUAUUAAUUGGGCUGAGAAUCACACAUGCAAUAGACUUUGGCUUUAAAAAGGCUUCCUAUUGAAGCAGGUUUUGGACACUGCCUUUUGCAUUUACUGUAUGAUUGAAUCUAUAAAUUAACUGUCUCAAAAUACACAACAAUUCCAAAAGAGCAUUUCUAAAAUCUUAUACUCAAAAACUGUGAGGAUGAAACAGGUGCUUAUCACAUCUUUCUAAAACUUUUUUUGGUUCAUUUCUCAUUUUAGUCGUGGAGGAAUGAGAUGGAUUAAACAGAAAAUAUUUUGUUUGUAUGUACUUUCACAUUCUACCACUGUGCACUUUCAUCUGAGCUUUCAUUCAGUUAAGAUACAUUUAUCCUUGCCUAUUUACAAAAAAAGUUCUGAUAAACAAUUUUUGGAUUAAAAAAUAGUGAUUGUGGGAAUACUAAACUAUGAACUAUGAUUAUCAAAAAUAUAGUAUCAGUUCAUGAUACUAUAGUUUAAACAUGUCAAAAAUCAGAGGAAUUAUUGAGGGGCCAAGGGAGCUCUGAAAUUCAAAUACUAACCUGUUGAUUCUUUUUUUUAAGAAAGGAAAUAUGGUAUAAUUUCUUUGCAGCAUAUAACAUUUUUCUCAGGUUUAAGUUUUAAGGAAUUUUAAUGCUGUAGAUGAAAAAUUGAUAUAGGAAAAUUUAUUUGCUAGUUCUGAAUGGAAAAAUUGUCUACAUGAACUUCAUUAUGCCUUCUUCCCUCUAAGAUGAUAUCAUUCUUAACAGACGCAAAAGACGAAACUUUAGCUUGUGACCUAGCAUAAUAUUAUUAAAGAAGAUUUUUAUUAGAUUCUGUCCUCAAAUAACCUGGUACAGUGUAACUUUUUCUGUAAUUAAACUUUCACUUUCCAUUUACACUCAUUAGAUAAAAGGAAUUAAUUUCUUAAGGUGGUGGCCAUCUUGAACACCUGGACAACUGAGUGACUUAGACUACAAAACCUGUAAAAUCACAAAUGUUGGGCAAUAAUCCUACUUCUUGAUGUUUAACUGUGAAAGCGUGAAAUGGAGAUCUUAGGGAAAAUUUAUAAUAAGUGUGCCUGAAAACUUAAAAGAAAUCUUGUGCAUAGAGCAACCAAUUCAGAACUACAACCAAAAUAAUUUUUCUUUAAUUCUACUGCCCUUCAUGGAUUUACAUUGAUUUGUACCAUUUCCAAAGACAAAAGUCUUGAGAAACUGAGGGAUUUACUCAAACUGUGGUGGUUGGCAAAGUAGAUUAAAUGUUCUACACUAUGAAAAAUAUCUUCAAGUUCCCAAAAGAAAGACUUGAAAAUGUUUCACUACAAGUAUAAAUAAACUCUACACAGCCAGGAAUCUCACCUUAAUGGUACUAUGUCCUUAACCAUACCAUAAAAAUCAGCAGUUUUGAAUACAAGGAAAAAGAAAACCCAAUGAAUUCUAUUUUACUGUACAGAAAAACUAUUCAUCAUUAUUACCAAAUGCUAAUGGACAAUUUAAAUCAGAGAAAUGCAAUCUAUUUUUUUAACUUUACUGCAGAUAUUUAAAAAUUGCAAUUUGAUGAAAAAUUAUCAUGACUUUUUUCACACACAAUGUUGUGCUUCACGUCAUAUCAAACAUAUUAAAUUAUAUUUUUUUCUGGGGUCUCAGAGAAAUAGGAAAAUAAAAAGAAAAAAGGCAAUGAAACUAAUAUAAUAAUUAGUUCAAAAAUUUUUAUGUAGAGCUUCUUAUCCGAACCAGCAUAUCAAUGAGACAGCAAGUUAACUGAGAGAAUUGCAAAAUAAACUGGUUUUGAGGUGGUUAUUGGAUAAAAGGCACCUACAACUCUAAUUAUAAAUCUGUGUGUGUAACUCCAAACAUAAAAGUAUAAAAUAAUAUUUAGGGCCUGAUGUUUAGAAGUCAUCAAACUUUCUCUAGACAUUUUGUGCAAAAGUACUUUGGCAUCAUAGAAAACUUUUAAACAUUUGAACAGAAGUUCAGGAAAAUUCCCUUAUGUCAACUUUUAGCUCACUUGAGAGACAAGCAACCAUGAUUCAAAAACAUUUUCUGAAUUAUUUUAAUAUAUGUAAAGAACAGUCUGAUGAGGAGAAACACUAUAGAGUGGGGAAACACCAUAGAGUAACCAUAGAUUUAAAAGUUCAUUCAAAUGGAUUGUAAAAUAUUUAUAUUCUGCAUUAAAGAGGGGAAAAGCUUAUUCUUUGUUCUUUUGUAUUCUGGAGGAAUAUCAGAACCAUUGCCUUGUCAACUUUUGAUCAAAUUCUAGCCUGAAAACUUAUUAUUAUGUUUAUUUAUCUGUAUGAAAAAUAUUAUAUGUAUAUGUAAACAUACUGUCACACAAAUAUCCAUUUUGUUAAAAAAAAAAAAAAAGAUUCUGUGAAUCCUGCCUUAUUUUUUUAACUGAAAUUGAUAUUACGCUUAAAAAGAUUUUCUGAGGAAUAUAGAAAUCCUGCCAUCCUCCUUGUUUCCUUGGUCCUUCCUUGGUCCUGGGCUCUUUGUAUCUCGAAAAAUAACUGUAGAGUAUAAGUUUGCUUCCAGGCAGUUUACAAUGAUUGAGGUUUGAACAAUGUUGAGCAACCUCUUGUACCAGUACUCUUGAUACCUAAAUUGUUAAUGUGUAAAAAAAUCAAUAAUGAAAGUAGUCUGAAAUAAGCAGCAUAAUUGCAUAUCAUAUGAAAUUUGAUUUAAAUCUUUGGUGAAAGGAGAAUUUGAGAUGUUUAAAUUAGUCAUGGAUUUUUGUGUGUGUUGAAAAUUGCAUCAAAUAUUCAAGUUGAAUGGAACACCUGGGGCCAAGUCUACCGAAAAACAGCAGUGUCAUGGUACUGAGCAAUGCAGCCAGUGUUUAAGCUAAAUACAGUGCACUUUAUAAAAUGUUUGGGGACAGUCACAUAAACAAGCAACAUCAAAGAUGGUAUUGAAUGGAUAGAUUAUAAAAUAUGCCAGGUGGUGGAAUUUGGCUCAACCCCUUGUUGAUGUGAAUGACUCACUGUACAGAGCAUCAUCUUGGAGAGAGAGAGGUGAAGUUCCCCGUAAAAAGAAGACUUAGCACGAGGACAGUAGGUCAAUGCUCUAGAAUUACUGCAGAUGUGCUGUGUCACCAUGACAUUUUUCUGAAAAAUCCCUUUGCCAGGAUUUUUUCUCCUGAGAAGCUGAGAAGCCUCAGAGGAAAAGAAAAACAAUAAUUAUCUGCUGCUGUGGAAUGCAACAGGUGCAUCUUUGAUUGAUCCAUGCUGGUUGUUUCUAGUUAAUGACCAGUCAAAGAUGCAGCUGGGUCAGACUCUCGGAGAGUAACGAGCUUUUAUUAUCAUUCCUUUCUAUUCCUGUCCAGACUUCUGAUGAAUCCUUUCUCUCUAUUUUUUGGUAUAGUUUUAAUGCAGCAUUUUUAAUAUAAUAUACAUCAUAAUAUAAUAAAUCAGCCGUCUGAAAAAUGGUGUCAAGAUUCUCAUCUCUUCCCUUGUCCUGAGACCCCUUGAACACAGUCACAGUGCUGCUCAGUGACACUGCCUGCUCAGAACAGCCUCAUCACGGAGUUCUGUCUUCAGAUGUAGAAAAGAGUUGCUCUACAAAUAACUUUUAAUGGCUUGAGAAGAAACAGUUGUGUGUAAUCAAGAUGCAAAAAUCCAAACUCUCUUCUUUCUUUAGCCACAUGUGUUUCAAUAGGUUCAGGUUAAGGAGGAAGGAAAGGAGAGACAGGGGAUAUGGGGAUAACCGGCUCUUCUGUCUGCAAAGAUUUGAAAUCACGUCCCUUCUGUGAAUAUUUUAUUAUUGCACUCCAAGGUAUUCUGAAGACCCUCCUGGAGGUAAUAUAGCAUGAAGUAGUUCAACACUCACUGGUCCAGAGAAUAUGAACAUGACUUUAGACUACAUUUAGGAAAAUCACAUGGGAAUCAGUCUGGUUCUACGUCUGGCCCUGGCUCCAUUAAACACUUCAGAUAAAAAUAUAGGUCUUUAGCAUCAGGAAUGGAAUUCAGAUUUACCUGUCUUAGGCAAGUGCUCUGGUGACUAUGCAAAACAAUGAAUGUGGGGUUUUGGCCUGUUGAAUCAAUAUGCAUAUACUACCAUAGCUAAAAAGAGUAAAUCAAAUGCUUCAGGGAAAAUAGGAAACUGAAAAAAGGUGCCCCUAAAUCCUAAAUCAAUGUUGUAGCCGUUGAAGUGCUGGUUAAUUAAACUUCCUCCUCCAUAAAAAUGAUUACCCCUUCUCUGAUUUAGAAUAAAAAUAAUUAAUUGUUUGAACCUAACAGAAAGACAAUAAAGGAGGUUGAAAACACAUGCGGUUUUUUUAGCAUUCCUUAGUUUCUAGCUUAAGGUACUGAGCUAUGCAAUGGCGUUUUGGCUGCCAUUCCUAAGCUUGCUGUGUGGUUUAUAAAGAAGCUACUGCCUACUAUGGCAGUUGUAAAAGUCAGGCGCUGCAGAACUUGGUGCUGUGAUGUCUCCAUUCCCUUUAUGAACCUACAAGAAAAAUGGAUCUACUUGUAGAGAAGGACAGUAUCCUAAUCCAUCUGGAUCUAAAGAGUGGCUGAACCGGAUGGCAGACAUUCACAUUCUCCUGCUCCUCUCAAAGAGAAAACUAAUUCCAGGCUCACAUGACCUACAUGAAGGCCUAUUUACCCAAGCUUUGGAUUAUAAGGGACUUUAUUGUCUUUUGCUGUUGUGUUCUUUUGAAGAUCUAUUUAAGUGCUUAUUUGAAUCUCUGUAUUCUUUAAAAAAAAAAAAAUCAACCCACAGCUUUUUACAGUCUUGAAGAUUUAAUUCUUAAGUUAUGGAAAAGCGAAACAGACUAACUUGCACAACAUAACAUUUUGUUCAGCAUAAAUAAAUUGCUAAACUGGGCACCGAAUAGGUAAAUGUGAUAUAAUGGCCUACCAAUUCAGUUAAAUAAAGAGUACAAAAUGCCAUCAGAAUAAUUUAAGAAAUAACUGUGUCACACAUUUUGCAAUGUGACAUUUUUAAAUUGUAAAGAAUUGGGGGAAGGAAAACUGAGGGAAUUGGGAAGUCAGAAUCAAAAGUGAAUAUUUAGUGACUAAAAGAAUGCUUUAAGCUGGGUUAAAAGUUGACAGAAGUUAAAAGAGCCUAAUUCUAUAAAAUACUGGAGCUUCUUGUGUAUUUCUUUAUGGAGCUGAGCUGGCAGAAGUGAGAUCAAUUAUUUCAAUAGGGUUUCAAUCAGGGCAUGGAUAGUUUUAAAAUAAAUUAUUUGAAUGAAUUACUCCUGAAAUAUUUAUUUAUAAUUUAUUCCUUUUCUGGAGUGGAUAAGGGAACUUAAUAUGUAUGGUUUCUUUAAAGUUUGGGGAUAAUAUAUUCUUGAAUAAUUUUUCCAUUAUUCACAUUCUUCUACCAGUACAACUUGAAAUUUAUCAUACUGACUGCACAAAGGAC